GCACGUCUCUGACAUUUUGCACAGAACACACUUCCUACUUUGGAAACUCUCUUCAAAAACAACUGCGUGAAGGUAAAAGGUCUUGUGGCCUGUGCUCAUAUAGACUUGUUUUGCAGUGAGCUAUACUCUAUCUAUAUCUAUUUGAUGGGGUGUUUUUAGUCUUCAAACUGCAUUUCCAUCCUCUACAUCUAACGGCAGCUUUCUAAUACAUCUGCUAUUAUAAGAUUUAAAAGGUGCAAAUAUGAAAUCUGAAAACUCCCCACUGCACACAGAAGCUCACUGAAAGCCUCUAUAUGAGCACAGAAUUAGACCAUAUUUCCUACUUCCGUAUUAAAUUUGGAGUAACUAAAAACAACUCUGUGAAAGUGAAGUCAUGUGGCCUGUGCUCAUAUAGACUCCAGCUGUCCUGCAGUGAGCAUCUGUAUAUGAUGAAGAGUUUUCAGCUUUCUUAUUUCCAGCUCCUGUGUCUUCUAACAGCAGCGUUAUUAGAAUGUAAAGUGUGUAAAACUUUGAACUCUGUCCAUGCAACACUAAACUCGUCAGUGUUGCUGCCGUGCUCUGAACAUCCUCUACACAACAGAACUGAACAAGUCACUUGGAAAGUUGUUAGUGGUCAUCAAUCAACGGAUAUAUUCCAGUAUCGAGGUCCAUACAAGCCCUCCAGCAGCACAGAGAAACCCCUGUAUGAGAGAGUGAGAGAACUAAAUAACGGAUCUUUGCUUAUAAGGAAUGCAGUACACACUGAUGAAUUGUGGUAUCGGUGCAGAGUGAAUGAAAAAACCUGCUAUGAGAUGAGGCUGGUGAUGAAAGCUCAUAAUACAUCUCAUUCCACAACAUUGGUAACCACAGAUGUUGUUUCAGCCUCUGCUGACAGUCUUGCUGGCCUGGCCGAAAGCAACAGUGAUGGGAGUGAAACAGUGACAACUAAUCUGACAGUAGUAGUGAUGACCACAGUAGUGUCUCUGUGUGUCCUCAUAUUACUGACCGUCUGUGCCAUUCUUUAUUUCAAAAAACAAAGACGCAAAACCAACAGCCAAUUACAGUUAAACAGUCAGUUCUCUGUAUAUUACUCCCGUGUUGCAGAAGGGUUUGAUGUCCCGUUGUAUUCUUUAGUUGAACAAAACUCAGGAACAAUGAUCACCUUUGGUGCUGAACAAUCAGAAGCUCCGGCAGAUAAACCAGAUGACAUGUAUGAAAAGUUAACAUUUUGAAAUGAAUAAUGGCGUUUUUAAUGUUUUUUGACAUCAGAGUCUUUGAGUAAUCACUGAUUAUAUGGCAUUUGUCACAAAUUAUAAUAAAGGGUAACAUCUUUUAUCCA
ensembl:lncRNA